rnacentral:lncRNA from 1 species
AAAUGGGGUAAAAAAUGAAUUUUUUAUUUUGUUCAAGUGCUCAAUAUUCAACCAACCCAUUUUUUUUAAUAUUUAAUCAGCUUACUCUCAAUAAACCGUGUUUAGGUUCUCGUUUGGGGAGAUCUUGGAACGUGCCUGUUGUGUGAAUGCGCAUACAAAUAGGGUCACUAUUCACCGACUACUAAUAAGGUAAGGGCAGAUAGUGGAUUUUAGAUUGUAUCAGUCGGGUAGGCGGGUUCUGGGAAAAUCUCUACGAAUUCUUCUUUGCAAGAGACAUCCUUGGGUUUAGUGAAACAUCAAUUCAUUCCCUCAUUUUUAUUCUCACCUCUUUUGUGAAAAUGAUGUUUUCAUUCCUCAUUCCUAAAUUUUUGGACCACACCCAAAAUUCAUCUCCAUUAUUUUAAUUUUUAGCAAGGAAGCAAUAUCAAUAAGGAAUGUGAAUCAUUCUUAUUUCCUAAUUUAAGAAGUAAACACACCAUUUUAGUUAGAUUCGGUUUGACAUUGUGACAUUGUGGCUUUAAAACCACAAUCCUGUUUGGUAUGACUUGUGUAAUGGCCAUAAGUGCGUAUAUAAUUUUAUAAGAUCUUUUCAAAAAUUUUGGUAAUGUUUCAUUAUAUUUUGAGUAGAGCUUUGGAGAAUUUAAUAAGCUAUAUUGCUCUAUUAAUGAGAGCUAAAUUUUUGGGUUCUUGGGAAUAGAAGUUGUAGUUGUAGAGCUUUUUAAAGAGGUAAAUUAUCUAUAGUAUCUUUAAUUUGUUUCACAGUCUUAAUUC